rnacentral:rRNA from 1 species
UGGGGAAUAUUGGACAAUGGGGGGAACCCUGAUCCAGCCAUGCCGCGUGUGUGAAGAAGGUCUUCGGAUUGUAAAGCACUUUAAGUUGGGAGGAAGGGCAGUAAGCGAAUACCUUGCUGUUUUGACGUUACCGACAGAAUAAGCACCGGCUAACUCUGUGCCAGCAGCCGCGGUAAUACAGAGGGUGCAAGCGUUAAUCGGAAUUACUGGGCGUAAAGCGCGCGUAGGUGGUUCGUUAAGUUGAAUGUGAAAGCCCCGGGCUCAACCUGGGUACUGCAUCCAAAACUGGCGAGCUAGAGUAGGGCAGAGGGUGGUGGAAUUUCCUGUGUAGCGGUGAAAUGCGUAGAUAUAGGAAGGAACACCAGUGGCGAAGGCGACCACCUGGGCUCAUACUGACACUGAGGUGCGAAAGCGUGGGGAGCAAACAGG